AACGGCCAUACCAUGCUGAAUAUACCGGUUCUCGUUAGAUCACUGAAGUCAAGCAUCAUUGGGCGCGGUCAGUACUUGGGUGGGUGACCACCUGGGAACACCGCGUGCCGUU
rnacentral:rRNA from 1 species